rnacentral:lncRNA from 1 species
AAUACAAUGAAUAGAUAUGAUCACUAGGGCAUUUACUACUACAGGUUCUACCCCCUUUUCUGAUUUAUUGUUUCUCAAUCCAUAGUGUAAGUAACUCCUGCAUCUUUUAGGGCAAACUAUCUUCUUUCAUUUUUGUUCUCUGUAGGUCAAUCUCUGGGACCAAGUCAAUCAAGCUAACUUCUCUGUCAGAGUUCCUGCUUCUUGAGUUCUCCAGCCUUGAAGAAAUCCAGCAGAUCCUUUUUCUGUCUGCUUGUGGCUAUAUCUGAUUGUUCUGAGUGGAAAUAUCACCACUGUCACUGUCAUCCGCCUGGAUCAAAGCCUCCACAUACCUGUAUACUUAUUCCUAGGGAUCCUCUCCAUUUCUGGGACAUGCUAUACCUUUGUCAUUCUGCCCAAGAUGCUCAUAGAUCUGUUGUCUUUGCUCAGAACAAUCUCAUUUAUUAACUGCCACUCCAGUGUUCUUCUUUCUGGGUUUUGCUGUCACUAAUUUCAUGUUCCUGGGCAUGACAGUUUAUGAUUCCUAUGUUGCCAUCUGCCAUCCACUUCACUACCCUGUCCUUACGAGCUGGCAGAUAUGUAAACAACUGGCAGCAACGUGUGCUGUGAUUGUUUUUUUUUGUUUGUUUGUUUUCACUGAUAGGCUCCUUCUUAGAUUUUCAGCUGCUUUUCUGUGGCCCAAACAAGAUCAACCACUACUUCUGUGACAUCUCACUGCUUAUUCAGCUUGCCUGUACUGAUACCUACAUCAGGGAGCUAGUCAUCUUCAUUGGUGGAAUUCUAGCACUUACGGUUCCUCUGAUUUUAUUUGCAUCUCCUAUGGCUUCAUUGUUCACACCAUCCUGAGGAUCCCAUAUGUGAAAGCAAGCAAAAAGCCAUCUCUACUUGUGCCUCCCAUCUUAUUAUGGUCGUUGUCCAUUAUGGCUGUGCCUCCUUUGUCAACCUGUGACCAUCAGCCAAAUAAUCAUCCAGCAAAUAACCAUCUAGCAAGAACAGGCUGGUGACAGUGACCUUACACAGUUGUGACUCCGUUGUUGAAUCCAUGGUAUAUAGCUUCAAGAAUAAGAACGUUCAGAUGGCCAUUUGGAAAGUGAUUUGCCAAGGAGGAUUUCCUCCUAAAGCUAUAAUAAGAUUAUUUCACAUC